rnacentral:rRNA from 1 species
GUCUCCUGCCAUCCCAUCCUAAAGCACCUGCUCUUGGAAGCUGAGCAUGCUCAGACCUGGUUAGUACUUGGAUGGAAGACUCCCUGGGAAUACCAGGGGCUGUAGGCU